rnacentral:rRNA from 1 species
GAAUUUUAUAUAACUUAUUAUAUUAGAUAUAUAAAAGGUUAUAUUUGAUUGGGAGGAUAAUUAAAUUAAAUAAACUUUAAUAAAUUAAUAACUUGAAUUGGUGAAAUAAAAAAAUGAUUAAAUUGUAUAUUAUAUUAAAAUAAAUUACCUUAGGGAUAACAGCAUAAUAUUAUUUUUUAGUUCAUAUAUAAAAUAAUGUUUAU